AUUCCUACGGGAGGCAGCAGUGGGGAAUCUUGGACAAUGGGCGCAAGCCUGAUCCAGCCAUGCCGCGUGAGUGAUGAAGGCCUUAGGGUCGUAAAGCUCUUUCGCCAGAGAUGAUAAUGACAGUAUCUGGUAAAGAAACCCCGGCUAACUCCGUGCCAGCAGCCGCGGUAAUACGGAGGGGGUUAGCGUUGUUCGGAAUUACUGGGCGUAAAGCGCGCGUAGGCGGAUUAGUCAGUUAGAGGUGAAAUCCCGGGGCUCAACCCCGGAACUGCCUUUAAUACUGCUAGUCUUGAGUUCGAGAGAGGUGAGUGGAAUUCCGAGUGUAGAGGUGAAAUUCGUAGAUAUUCGGAGGAACACCAGUGGCGAAGGCGGCUCACUGGCUCGAUACUGACGCUGAGGUGCGAAAGUGUGGGGAGCAAACAGGAUUAGAUACCCUGGUAGUCCACACCGUAAACGAUGAAUGCCAGUCGUCGGGUAGCAUGCUAUUCGGUGACACACCUAACGGAUUAAGCAUUCCGCCUGGGGAGUACGGUCGCAAGAUUAAAACUCAAAGGAAUUGACGGAAU
rnacentral:rRNA from 1 species